GCUGGGGAGUGAGAGAACUCUGAGCCAUGUAGGCUGUGUGAGUCUGAAGAAGAGAGGCUCCCUUUAGGUGCAGCUGGUCUUUCACAUGCAUCAUUGGAUUACAAUCUCAAGUCUGGGAUCCCAGUGGAAUUGAGUAUCCAUUGAGAAUUUACUGUGCUCUAGGCACGGAACAAGACGCUUCGGGUCCUUCAAAGACAACACCUAAUUAUCCCCAGAGAA
rnacentral:lncRNA from 12 species